UUUAGAAGUGUUGCGUGUGUCCUGUCUUUGAACUCUCCUGGUGAGAGGCGUUUAGAGUCUGGGAGUUCCCUUCGCCAACGUUGUUGGCACGUACCUCAGCCCUGCCCACAUGGUGGGCCGCACCCCUUCUCGUCCGCCCCCUCGCAGGCCGGCUCCCGAGGUUUGCUCGCCCAGGUGAGCCCCGCAGACUUAACAAAGAGCACAGGCGCACCCUCGUGUGCCACCUCGCGGCGGCCUCCAGGAGAGCCUUGGAUAGGACCUUCUGGGCUGAAGUAGACCUUGGCUGCUAAUUUCUGCAUGGGUGGCAUCUAAGGACAGAACACUUAUCCAGUGAACGUUUGGAUUGGACAGCAGCAAACAAAGAGCCCAGGCACCAGUACUCAGGCAUGUGCCAGCCAUAUCGUUUUGAUUCUGAUUGUCCUUCUGCCUCACCAUAACUUCUUCAAUGAAGCGUCCCAGGUA